AAUAGAUACCCCGGUAGUCCUAGCCGUAAACGAUGAACACUAGGCGUAGUCGGUAUCGACCCCGGCUGUGCCGUAGCUAACGCAUUAAGUGUUCCGCCUGGGGAGUACGGCCGCAAGGCUAAAACUCAAAGGAAUUGACGGGGGCCCGCACAAGCAGCGGAGCGUGUGGUUUAAUUCGUCGCAACGCGAAGAACCUUACCAGGGCUUGACAUGUGGCGGAAAACGGCGGAAACGUCGUCCUCCCGCAAGGGACCGUCAUGCAGGUGUUGCAUGGCUGUCGUCAGCUCGUGUCGCGAGAUGUUGGGUUAAGUCCCGCAACGAGCGCAACCCCCGUGGCAUGUCGUAUCUCUCAUGCCAGACUGCCGAGAGAAACUCGGAGGAAGGUGGGGAUGACGCCAAGUCAGCAUGGCCCUUACGUCCUGGGCUACACACACGCUACAAUGGCCGGUACAACGGGUUGCCAAACCGCGAGGUGGAGCUAAUCCCUUAAAGCCGGUCUCAGUUCGGAUUGCAGGCUGCAACUCGCCUGCA
rnacentral:rRNA from 1 species